AAUCCAUAGGUUAAUGAGGCGAACCGGGGGAACUGAAACAUCUAAGUACCCCGAGGAAAAGAAAUCAACCGAGAUUCCCCCAGUAGCGGCGAGCGAACGGGGAGGAGCCCAGAGCCUGAAUCAGCAUGUGUGUUAGUGGAAGCGUCUGGAAAGGCGCGCGAUACAGGGUGACAGCCCCGUACACAAAAGCGCAUGUGCUGUGAGCUCGAUGAGUAGGGCGGGACACGUGGUAUCCUGUCUGAAUAUGGGGGGACCAUCCUCCAAGGCUAAAUACUCCUGACUGACCGAUAGUGAACCAGUACCGUGAGGGAAAGGCGAAAAGAACCCCGGCGAGGGGAGUGAAAAAGAACCUGAAACCGUGUACGUACAAGCAGUGGGAGCCCCACCACCAAAGCGUUUCGCUUUGUGUGGUGCACAAAGAAGCGUAACGACAGCACUGAAUGACGGUUAACGGAGCGCAAGCGACGUUCAACAUACAAAGUCAAGCAGUGGAGCGCUUUGGGGUGG
rnacentral:rRNA from 2 species